rnacentral:rRNA from 1 species
CGCUACACUCCUACGGGAGGCAGCAGUGGGGAAUAUUGCACAAUGGGGGAAACCCUGAUGCAGCCAUGCCGCGUGUGUGAAGAAGGCCUUCGGGUUGUAAAGCACUUUCAGUAGGGAGGAAGGUAGUGUAGUUAACACCUGCAUUAUUUGACGUUACCUACAGAAGAAGCACCGGCUAACUCCCGUGCCAGCAGCCGCGGUAAUACGGAGGGUGCGAGCGUUAAUCGGAAUUACUGGGCGUAAAGCGCAUGCAGGCGGCCUGUUAAGUCAGAUGUGAAAGCCCGGGGCUUAACCUCGGAAUUGCAUUUGAAACUGGCAGGCUAGAGUCUUGUAGAGGGGGUAGAAUUUCAGGUGUAGCGGUGAAAUGCGUAGAGAUCUGAAGGAAUACCAGUGGCGAAGGCGGCCCCCUGGACAAAGACUGACGCUCAGAUGCGAAAGCGUGGGGAGCAAACAGGAUUAGAUACCCCUGGUAG